rnacentral:rRNA from 1 species
AGAGUUUGAUCAUGGCUCAGAGUGAACGCUGGCGGCGUGCUUAACACAUGCAAGUCGAACGAUGAAGCUUCUAGCUUGCUAGAAGUGGAUUAGUGGCGCACGGGUGAGGAAUAUAUAGCUAAUGUGCCCCUUAGAGGGGGAUAACAGUUGGAAACGACUGCUAAUACCCCAUACUCCUUCUUGUUAUAAGACAAGUCGGGAAAGUUUUUUCGCUAAGGGAUCGGGCUAUACGGUAUCAGCUUGUUGGUGAGGUAAUGGCUCACCAAGGCUAUGACGCCUAUCUGGUCUGAGAGGAUGAUCAGACACACUGGAACUGAGACACGGUCCAGACUCCUACGGGAGGCAGCAGUGGGGAAUAUUGCACAAUGGAGGAAACUCUGAUGCAGCAACGCCGCGUGGAGGAUGACACAUUUCGGUGCGUAAACUCCUUUUAUGUGAGAAGAUAAUGACGGUAUCACAUGAAUAAGCACCGGCUAACUCCGUGCCAGCAGCCGCGGUAAUACGGAGGGUGCAAGCGUUACUCGGAAUCACUGGGCGUAAAGCGCGCGCAGGCGGCCUGAUAAGUUGGAUGUGAAAUCCUAUGGCUUAACCAUAGAACUGCAUCCAAAACUGUUGGGCUAGAGUACUGAAGGGGAAGAUGGAAUUAGUGGUGUAGGGGUAAAAUCCGUAGAUAUUGGAAGGAAUACCAGAAGCGAAGGCGACUGACUGGGACAUUACUGACGCUGAGGCUCGAAAGCGUGGGGAGCAAACAGGAUUAGAUACCCUGGUAGUCCACGCCCUAAACGAUGAACACUAGUCGUUACAAAGCUAGUCUUUGUAGUGACGCAGCUAACGCAUUAAGUGUUCCGCCUGGGGAGUACGGUCGCAAGAUUAAAACUCAAAGGAAUAGACGGGGACCCGCACAAGCGGUGGAGCAUGUGGUUUAAUUCGAAGAUACGCGAAGAACCUUACCAAGGCUUGACAUGUUAGGAAUCUUGUAGAAAUAUGAGAGCGCUGGCUUGCCAGAACCUAAACACAGGUGCUGCAUGGCCGUCGUCAGCUCGUGUCGUGAGAUGUUGGGUUAAGUCCCGCAACGAGCGCAACCCUCGUCCUUAGUUGCCAGCGGUUCGGCCGGGAACUCUAAGGAGACUGCCUGCGUAAGCGGGAGGAAGGUGGGGAUGAUGUCAGGUCAUCACGGCCCUUAUGCCUUGGGCAACACACGUGCUACAAUGGGAUAUACAGAAAGCUGCAAUACCGCGAGGUGGAGCCAAUCUCUAAAAUAUCUCUCAGUUCGGAUUGUAGUCUGCAACUCGACUACAUGAAGUCGGAAUCGCUAGUAAUCGUAGAUCAGCUAUGCUACGGUGAAUACGUUCCCGGGUCUUGUACUCACCGCCCGUCACAC